rnacentral:SRP_RNA from 1 species
UGUUGGUUCUCCCGCAACGCUACUCUGUUUACCAGAGUCAGGUCCGGAAGGAAGCAGCCAAGGCAGAUGACGCGUGUGCCGGGAUGUAGCUGGCAGGG